CCUACGGGGUGCACCAGUGGGGAAUAUUGGGCAAUGGGGGAAACCCUGACCCAGCAACGCCGCGUGAAGGAAGAAGGCCUUCGGGUUGUAAACUUCUUUUACCAGGGACGAAGAACGUGACGGUACCUGGAGAAAAAGCAACGGCUAACUACGUGCCAGCAGCCGCGGUAAUACGUAGGUUGCAAGCGUUGUCCGGAUUUACUGGGUGUAAAGGGCGUGUAGGCGGAGAUGCAAGUUGGGAGUGAAAUCCCGGGGCUCAACCCCGGAACUGCUUUCAAAACUGUAUCCCUUGAGUGUCGGAGAGGCAAGCGGAAUUCCUAGUGUAGCGGUGAAAUGCGUAGAUAUUAGGAGGAACACCAGUGGCGAAGGCGGCUUGCUGGACGAUAACUGACGCUGAGGCGCGAAAGCGUGGGGAGCAAACAGGAUUAGAUACCCGAGUAGUC
rnacentral:rRNA from 1 species